rnacentral:piRNA from 1 species
UCCUCUUUUGAAGGACAUAGGACCGGGGU